UACAGAGGUCCCAAGCGUUGUUCGGAUUCACUGGGCGUAAAGGGUGCGUAGGCGGUCGGGUAAGUCUGAUGUGAAAUCUCACAGCUUAACUGUGAAACUGCAUUGGAUACUAUUCGGCUUGAGAGUUGGAGGGGGGACUGGAAUUCUUGGUGUAGCAGUGAAAUGCGUAGAUAUCAAGAGGAACACCAGUGGUGAAGGCGAGUCCCUGGACAACUUCUGACGCUGAGGCACGAAAGCUAGGGGAGCAAACAGG
rnacentral:rRNA from 1 species